rnacentral:rRNA from 1 species
CAGUCGCCUCGGUAAUACGUAGGGUGCGAGCGUUAAUCGGAAUUACUGGGCGUAAAGCGUGCGCAGGCGGUUGUGUAAGACAGGUGUGAAAUCCCCGGGCUUAACCUGGGAACUGCGCUUGUGACUGCACAGCUAGAGUAUGGCAGAGGGGGGUGGAAUUCCACGUGUAGCGGUGAAAUGCGCAGAGAUGUGGAGGAACACCGAUGGCGAAGGCAGCCCCCUGGGCCAAUACUGACGCUCAUGCACGAAAGCGUGGGGAGCAAACAGGAUUAGAUACCCCCGUAGUCCCUGUCUCUUAUAC